rnacentral:rRNA from 1 species
GACAGAGGGUGCGAACGUUGUUCGGAAUUACUGGGCGUAAAGGGCGCGUAGGCGGCCUGUUAAGUCGAACGUGAAAUCCCCGGGCUCAACCCGGGAACUGCGUCCGAUACUGGCAGGCUUGAAUCCGGGAGAGGGAUGCGGAAUUCCAGGUGUAGCGGUGAAAUGCGUAGAUAUCUGGAGGAACACCGGUGGCGAAGGCGGCAUCCUGGACCGGCAUUGACGCUGAGGCGCGAAAGCCAGGGGAGCAAACAGG